ensembl:rRNA 5S_rRNA 5S ribosomal RNA
GCCAGCAGCCAUAUCACCCUGGAACUCACAACUGGCAACCCACUGAAGCUAAGCAGGUGUGAGCCUGGUCAGUACCUGGAUGGAGACCUCCUGGGAAAAACUAUUGUUGCUGCUGGAA